rnacentral:rRNA from 1 species
CGAACGCGUCUUGUGUAUUGAUGUUAAGUGCUUGCAUUUAACUGAUUUAACAUUGAGACGAGUGGCGAACUGGUGAGUAACACGUGGGUAACCUGCCCUUGAAGUAGGGGAUAACACUUGGAAACAGGUGCUAAUACCGUAUAACAACCAAAACCACCUGGUUUUGGUUUAAAAGAUGGCUUCGGCUAUCACUUUAGGAUGGACCCGCGGCGUAUUAGCUUGUUGGUAAGGUAACGGCCUACCAAGGCAAUGAUACGUAGCCGACCUGAGAGGGUAAUCGGCCACAUUGGGACUGAGACACGGCCCAAACUCCUACGGGAGGCAGCAGUAGGGAAUCUUCCACAAUGGACGAAAGUCUGAUGGAGCAACGCCGCGUGAGUGAUGAAGGGUUUCGGCUCGUAAAACUCUGUUGUUGGAGAAGAACAGGUGUGAGAGUAACUGUUCACAUCUUGACGGUAUCCAACCAGAAAGCCACGGCUAACUACGUGCCAGCAGCCGCGGUAAUACGUAGGUGGCAAGCGUUGUCCGGAUUUAUUGGGCGUAAAGCGAGCGCAGGCGGUUUCUUAGGUCUGAUGUGAAAGCCUUCGGCUUAACCGGAGAAGUGCAUCGGAAACCAGGAGACUUGAGUGCAGAAGAGGACAGUGGAACUCCAUGUGUAGCGGUGAAAUGCGUAGAUAUAUGGAAGAACACCAGUGGCGAAGGCGGCUGUCUGGUCUGUAACUGACGCUGAGGCUCGAAAGCAUGGGUAGCGAACAGGAUUAGAUACCCUGGUAG